rnacentral:lncRNA from 1 species
CAACAUCAAAAGGAAUCGAGGCUCACCUGGUCACAGUCUGGCCAUCACAUUUUUUAUAGGAACAAAGAAAGAUGCGGUAUGCCCUUCACAUAUGCUCGCAUUAAAAAUGUAUUAGUGAUGCCUCCAGGACCACAUUUCCAGCAGCCCGUAGCAGCACGGUUUGGCGAGCAGAGUGUGCUGUUCACCCACAGGAUUGUACGAGCCAGCCUGCCCAGCACCCUGCCAAAGUUAUGGGACUGCUGCCCGGGGCUCCACAUUCCUCUGCCGCCGGCCCUUGCUCUGCAGUAUCAGCAUCAGCUCUGCGAUGGGAGCCAGGAGGACUGUUUGUAA